UACGGAGGGUGCAAGCGUUAUCCGGAUUCACUGGGUUUAAAGGGUGCGUAGGCGGGUAAGUAAGUCCGUGGUGAAAUCUCUGAGCUUAACUCAGAAACUGCCGUGGAUACUAUUUGCCUUGAAUAUUGUGGAGGUGAGCGGAAUAUGUCAUGUAGCGGUGAAAUGCUUAGAUAUGACAUAGAACACCAAAUUGCGAAGGCAGCUCACUACACAAUCAUUGACGCUGAGGCACGAAAAGCGUGGGGAUCAAACAGG
rnacentral:rRNA from 1 species